UACGGAGGAUGCGAGCGUUAUCCGGAUUUAUUGGGUUUAAAGGGUGCGUAGGCGGAUCGUUAAGUCAGUGGUCAAAUUGAGGGGCUCGACCCCUUCCCGCCAUUGAAACUGGCGAUCUUGAGUGGAAGAGAAGUAUGCGGAAUGCGUGGUGUAGCGGUGAAAUGCAUAGAUAUCACGCAGAACCCCGAUUGCGAAGGCAGCAUGCCGGCUUCCUACUGACGCUGAAGCACGAAAGCGUGGGGAUCGAACAGG
rnacentral:rRNA from 1 species